UACGAAGGUGGCAAGCGUUACUCGGAAUUACUUGGCGUAAAGGGCAGGUAGGUGGUUUGGUAAGUCUGUUGUGUAAGCUCCCGGCUUAACUGGGAGAGGUCAACAGAAACUACCAGACUUGAGUAUAGGAGAGGGUACUGGAAUUCCCGGUGUAGCGGUGAAAUGCGCAGAGAUCGGGAGGAACACCAAUGGCGAAAGCAGGUACCUGGACUAUUACUGACACUAAGCUGCGAAAGCUAGGGGAGCAAACAGG
rnacentral:rRNA from 1 species